rnacentral:lncRNA from 1 species
CUUGAAAAUAAUUAUUAUUGGCAUCACAUAACAAGAAGUGCUAUAACCAGAGUAAUUUUGUUUAUUUUUUAACUGGGAAACAGUAAAGUUCAGGUGUCAGUAGAGAAGCACUGAUGAGUGAAAAUGAUAAAAUCUUUUUUUGCAUGCCUUUUUUUUUUAUUUGUUAAGAGAAGCCUGAUGUUGGCACAUGUCUUAAUGAGUGCAUCAUUUUUGUGUUUUUUCUUUCAUUUUUCAGCACAGCUGACACAGUCCUGGAAGCACAUGACGAUAUUGAAUUCUACUAGACCAGUGAAACUGAUAAGUUUGUUCGUUCAUGCAAAGGACAGAGAUCAUUGGAAUCAGCUUAUACUGUAUCUUUCGUACUGUGCUUUUACACCUGAUGGAAUUCACGAGCUUCCAGAGGUGUCCUGCUGCCAGAGAACAAGGCACGUCUGAGGCAGAAUGACUACAGUCCCCAGCACAGCACAGACGAGGGCCGUGGCUUUCUUCAUGGCUCCUGCACCAGACACAGUUCUCCAGCCAAUAGAGGUCACUCCGUUCUGGAUGAUUUGUCGGUCAUCUGGACUCAGCAGCCUAAAAAGACCUAAAGUCUGCUCUUCUUCCCUACCUGGACAGAGUUGCUUUUGGGGAACAGGAGGAGGGAAGGGGGUGCAGGAACUUGUGCUGAGGUCAGAGAGGGCCCUGGCUCAUUACACUGACGAGCUGGAGCCUGGUGGUUGCCAGCUCAGCUUUUGCCUGAACCUGUAAACUCUGUAGCCAUGCAGCUCACGGGGACUAUCAGAUAGAGGAGGGAGAGCAUGUUUAGGGCCAGCACUUUUGGGACCUUUCAUGUAAAAUUAUUACUACCUUUCAGAAUCGGUAGGAUCCUGACUCCUUUUACAUUGAUGGAGGUCUUUCCACUGCCUGCAAAGGCAGUAGCAGUAAGUCAGUUAUCCUGAACACAGUCCUUUGUUUGCAUUUUCUGUCCAAAAGAGAUAUCUGUAGAACCUGUAGAAACAGAAAUAAAAUGUACAUUAAUCCAAGAGACUUUAGUUUA